AACAGAGGAACAAUAGCUAUAAUUUUAUAAUUUUUAUUGCUUAUUUAAUCGACCCCAAGCAAGGCAAUGAGGCGAUUAAACUUUUCUUUCGUUUUUUCUUCUCACACACUCUCUCUGCUGAUUUUACUCAUCGACGCCCAUGUGCAUCGAAACGUGUCGACAACAUGCCAAAAACCGCGUUAUCACAGGGCACCGUGACGAAAUUUCCUGAACCAUGGAUGCAGGUGGUCGGAAAGAGAAUGCUCCAGAGAGGGGUCAAGGUAGAGUGAACGGGUCCGCAAACUGUUCAAAUUAAUCGGAGAGCUUAAACGCGGCAGAGAGUGAUCACAUUAUGCCCGGCACGGUGUAUUCUAAUCUAAUCAUGGCCCAAGGGAGCAAGCAAUGUUUGUGUUUACUUACCGUACUACUACCUUUUUUUCCAAUUCCUCAGUUCUGUUUUCUCUUGACGGCUGUCGGCGCCUAACUGUAGUGGCAUCCGGUAUUGCCUCCUGUAACCAGAGACGUGUUCCCUGGACGGCAGGACGACAUGCAACGCCACGUACUUUAUGCAGGUGGAACGACAAUGGGCACUGCCGAGCGGACUAACUUCGAUCUGCUCGACGAGCUGGAACUAUUGUUACGUCGGAAAGGACGUUUGCCCGUGCUGCUGGUGACCUUGAUUGCGCUGGCCGUAUGUUUCCUCGUCGUAGGCCUACUAAUGGCCACCGGGAUCAUGAUGGUGACGUUCUUUCUUUUCAUCUUCUUUAACGAAACACCCAGUGAGCUGAAUGUUGCGCUUAACGCAUGAGAAGAUGCUUGAGCUGUGGUGUGUUCGAUGGUGUGGCAAAAUAAACUAUCCUUGUUAAAA